rnacentral:tRNA from 1 species
GGAGAGGUGGCUGAGUGGUCGAAAGCAGCUUCCUGCUAAGAAGCUGUCGGAGUUUUACUUCCGACCGCGGGUUCGAAUCCCGCCCUCUCCG